AAGUCGUAACAAGGUUUCCGUAGGUGAACCUGCGGAAGGAUCAUUAACACUUUUUUCAUUAUUUCAUUAUUUCAAUGAAAUAUUUACUUACCCACAUUUUUGGAUGAAUUAUUACUUUAUUAACCCUUUUUUUACUUUUUUAAACCCCAACAACUAUUUACUAUAAAUAUUUCUAACAUUUACAACAAAAAGUUUAAGAAAAACAUAAAAAACAACUCUUAACAACGGAUAUCUAGGCUCUC
rnacentral:misc_RNA from 1 species